rnacentral:rRNA from 1 species
AAAGUUACAUAAGCGCACAUAACGGAUGCCUUGACGUAAGAUACCGAAGAAGGACGUGAUAGGCUGCGAUAAGCCGCGGGGAGUUGCCAAAUAAACGGUGAACCGCGGAUGUCCUAAUGGGGGAACCCGGCUAGGGUCAUACCUAGUCACUCUUAUCUGAACACAUAGGAUAGGUAGAGGUAAGCUCCUGAACUGAAACAUCUUAGUAGGGAGAGGAAAAGAAAGUAAACAACGAUUCCGGCAGUAGUGGCGAGCGACCCCGGAAGAGCCCAAACCUUUUUAGUUUCCGUUGCAAAACGGAUAAGUUGACAGACGAAUAUUAAAAGGGGGUUGUGAGGAUCAAAUAGCCAAGUGAGAAUACUACGUUCGCGUAGUCGUCUCACUUGAGAAUACAGACUGUCAUUUCUGUAUGUAAGGUAAAAAAUUAGCGAGGCGAGCAGAAAUGUUUGGAACGAUAUGCCAUAGACGGUGAGAGCCCGGUAUGCAAAGUAUCGCUAACCUUAUUAUUUGGUGGGAUAUAUCCCUAGAAACAACCUAAUUUAUUAGAUUGUUUUGACACUCAAGUAGGUCGGAACACGAGAAACUCUGACUGAAGCUGGAAGGACCACCUUCCAAGGCUAAACAUAUCUUACGAUCGAUAGCGAACAAGUACCGCGAGGGAAAGGUAAAAAGAACCCCGAAAGGGGAGUGAAAUAGAUUCUGAAAUUGUGUGCGUACAAGGAGUCGGAGCGGUCUUUUAGACUGUGACGGCGUGCUUUUUGUAGAACGAUCCAGCGAGUUAUUGGCAGGUGCGAGCUUAAGGUUUAUACCGGAGGCGUAGUGAAAGCGAGGCUGAAUAGGCCGAUUAGUAUCUGUUAAUAGACCCGAAACCGGGUGACCUAACCAUGGGCAGGCUGAAGCGUGGGUAAAACUACGUGGAGGGCCGAACCGUAGAGAAUUGCAAAACUCCCGGAUGACCUGUGGUUAGCGGUGAAAUGCCAAUCGAACUCGGAGAUAGCUGGUUCUCCUCGAAAUAGCUUUAGGGCUAGCGUUGUGUAGUAGCAAGUGGGGGUAGAGCUCUGUUUCGGACUGAGGCCCGCGAGGGUACUCACCCUUGAUAAACUACGAAUACCAUUUGUGUAAGCACAGCAGUUAGAACGUCGGGGCUAAGCUCGGCGCUCGAAAGGGAAACAGCCCAGACCAUCAUCUAAGGUCCCUAAAUUUACGCUCAGUGGGAAACGAGGUGGGGUUUCUUAAACAAUGAGGAUGUUGGCUUAGAAGCAGCCAUUCAUUUAAAGAGUGCGUAACAGCUCACUCAUCAAGAGACCCUGCGCGGAAAAUGUAACGGGGCUAAAGCGUAAUACCGAAGAUAUGGAUUGUCACAUUAGUGGCAGUGGUAGAGGAGCGUUGUUGUCUGCAGUGAAGUUGAACUGUAAGGUUUGGUGGAGCGGCAACAAGUGAGAAUGCUGGAAUAAGUAACUUUAAGACAGGUGAGAAACCUGUCCGCCGAAAGAGCAAGGUUUCCUGGGCCAUGGUAAUCAUCCCAGGGUUAGUCGGGCCUAAGCCGAGGCGCGUAGCGUAGGCGAUGGACAACGGGUUAAUAUUCCCGUACCGGCGAUAUUGUUGCUCACAGAUUCGCGGCAUGGUAGUUGGAGCAGUCUAAUGGUAUGACUGUCUAAGCGUCUAGGAUUCGUCUGAAGCGCGAAUGAGAGUGUCCUUUCGGACACGAUUCCAGUGACCCAAGCUGACCAGAAAAGUCUGUGAGUGUAUAGAUAUUGCCGACCGUACCGCAAACCGACACAGGUGCUCAGGUCGAGUAGACCAAGGCGUACGAGAGAACCCUUCUUAAGGAACUCGGCAAUACAGCGACCGUAACUUCGGGAUAAGGUCUGCCCCGUCACAGUGUUUAUUACUGUGAAGGAGUUGUUGUAAUAGCAACAACAGUAUUGGCAAGUUUUCUUUUUGAAAACACUCACACUGAUCAUUACAAGAUCAGCCAAAAGUCCUUAAAAAGUUAUAACUUCUUUUUAGGGCAACCGAAGAUUUGAGAGAAGAAAGCUACAGCCUUUAUAACACAUUUAGUAAUAAAUAGUGUGACGGGGCCGCAGCGAAAGAACCCAUGCAACUGUUUACCAAAAACACAGGUCUCUGCUAACACGAAAGUGGAUGUAUAGGGGCUGACUCCUGCCCAGUGCUGGAAGGUUAAGGGGCGUGCUUCACGGCACAAACUGAAGCCCCAGUGAACGGCGGCGGUAACUAUAACCGUCCUAAGGUAGCGAAAUUCCUUGUCAGGUAAGAAACUUGCCUGAAGAUUGUGGCAACACAAUGUAAGUAAACCAACUAAUAACGAGGAAGCCUAAGCGUCUGGUCAAGACGAUUGGUAAUCUCGUGGCAAUCCCUUUAACUAAGGGGAAGCCGUAACGACUGAUCCGAAAGGAGAGGUACAUGACGCAAAAUGUACAAUACGUUGGCUCUCGCUUACAAGAAACGACGCUUACGGAGCAAGCAUGGUAUAUUACCGGAUUUGUAGAUGGGGAAGGUUGUUUUUCUGUCUCUUUCAACAAAAGAGCUAAGAUGAAAACAGGUAUCGAAGUGAGACCUAGUUUUUCAAUAGGUCAAAACAAGAGAAGCCUUUCUGUCUUGAAAGAUAUUCAAGACUAUUUCGGAUGUGGAGCUAUACGUUUUAGCAAACAUGACCAAACUUACAAGUAUGAAGUCAGGUCUGUAGGCGAUUUAAGAACGAAAGUCUUACCACAUUUUAAGAAAUAUCCAUUACGUACGCAGAAGUUAGAUGAUUAUAUAACUUUUGCUUGGAUAUGCGAUCAAAUUGCAGCGUUGCAACACCUUAACAGUGUGAAAUUAGCGGCAAUUAUCACAAAAGCAUAUGCCAUGAACGAAUCAGGUAAACGAAAAUACACCAUGAACGAACUCCUCCAAGUGAUCGAAGCGAGAUGAAGAUAUAGUCUGAUCUGUAAUGAAAAUUACAGCUAACGAUAUGAAGUUCUGACCCGCACGAAUGGAGUAAUGAUAUGGGUACUGUCUCAAGAAGGGACUCGGUGAAAGUGCAUUGGCGGUAAAGAUGCCGUCUGUCCGCAUCAGGACGAGAAGACCCCGUGGAGCUUUACUACAGCUUGACAUUGAGCUGGGUGACAACAUGUGUAGCAUAGGUGGGAGACUAUGAAGCCAACGCGCUAGCGAUGGUGGAGUCUUCAGUGAAAUACCACCCUUGUUGUUACUUUGUUCUUACUUGGACCGUUAUCCGGUUCGAGGACAGUGUCUGGUGGGUAGUUUAACUGGGGCGGUUGCCUCCUAAAGAGUAGCGGAGGCGUUCAAAGGUUGGCUAGCUACGGAUGGAAAUCGUAGUGAUAGUGCAUACGCAUAAGCCAGCUUGACUGUGAGGCCUACAAGCCAAGCAGGCACGAAAGUGGGAGUAAGUGACCCGUUGUCCAUACAUUAUGUAUAUGAGUGUGGAAUCGGCAACGCAAACGGAUAAAAGUUACCCCGGGGAUAACAGGCUUAUAGCGCCCAAUAGUUCACAUAGACGGCGCUGUUUGGCACCUCGAUGUCGGCUCAUCUCAUCCUGGGGCUGGAGCAGGUCCCAAGGGUCCGGCUGUUCGCCGGUUAAAGAGGUACGUGAGCUGGGUUCAGAACGUCGUGAGACAGUUCGGUUUAUAUCCGAUGUGGACAAUAGGAAAUGUGAGGGAAUCUGCCCCUAGUACGAGAGGACCGGGGUGGACGCACCGCUGGUGUACCAGUUGUCUGACCUACAGGCAUAGCUGGGUAGCUAAGUGCGGUCUAGAUAAGCGCUGAAAGCAUAUUAAGCGCGAAACUAAUCCCAAGAUUGCAUUUCCCUAUAGAGAUCCCUGAAAGACGAUCAGGUUGAUAGGCGCAAGGUGUACGUGUAGCAAUACAUUCAGCCAAAGCGUACUAAUAGAUCCAUCGACUUUUUAU